rnacentral:lncRNA from 1 species
CGGGAUAAAGCUUCCAUUCAUCCACAAUCUAAUAGCAUAAACAUGGCUCAAAAGCUUUAAAAAAAAAAAAACAACGUUCCAGCAUAAAAAUAAUAUUCAGAGAGUGUGAAUGAAAAGUGAAUGACGGUUGUGUCUUGGAAAUUCCUUGCUAAAUGUCGUCCAAGCCACCAAAAUUGGUGGGGUCCACCUCUAAGAAACCCUAAAGAGAUGCCACAUGGCCCCCACAAUUGGUUUUUUUACAAAAAUGCCCCUAAAAGGGUCCAAAACACCUAAUUCUAAUUAAGGGCUUCUAGAAAACGAAAUUACAACUUUAAUAAGAAUCUAAAUGACUAAAUGUUUAGCCUUUGACUGUGUCACGCCAUAUCCCAAUGCUCCAGAUGAUGUUUCCAAAAUUUCCCUGCACCCAAAA